UACAGAGGUCUCAAGCGUUGUUCGGAUUCAUUGGGCGUAAAGGGUGUGUAGGUGGCGCCGUAAGUCGGGUGUGAAAUCUCGGGGCUUAACUCCGAAACUGCAUUCGAUACUGCGGUGCUUGAGGACUGGAGAGGAGACUGGAAUUCAUGGUGUAGCAGUGAAAUGCGUAGAGAUCAUGAGGAAGACCAGUGGCGAAGGCGGGUCUCUGGACAGUUCCUGGACACUGAGACACGAAGGCCAGGGGAGCAAACGGG
rnacentral:rRNA from 1 species